CAUAAGGGUGAUCUUUGACUGAAACAUCAGGCACACCUGGGCAGGGAUAGGGGCCAUGCAAGGUGGAAUGCCUAAGACCAGUGCUCUUGGCACUACCUGGAGGUAAUGGCAAGCAAGCUAGUGCAUAUGGCAGAAAAUGGAGGGGUUGUACCCAUACCCACACAGGGAGGGGGGAACUUAAUUAGGAUUUUGUUUCUGAGCAGCUGCUGGUAUGUCAGAGGCUUGGAAUUGGCAACAUCUAAAACUGCUGUAGUUAACUGACCUCACCAAGUUCCAAGGGCUCUUCUUCCUGAUCCUUUUUUCCUGAGCCUCAGCUCUGGAACACUUUCCUAUUGGCUGGGAAGACCAACUCAAGUUCCCUUGCCCAUGUUUGGAGGUGGAUGCCUCCUGAACUAAAGAUAGAAACAGCUGGCCCUUCUAAGCAGCUAAAAGCCUUUAGACUAAGAGGUGUUCCCCCACUCUGCAGCCAGACUCCUUGAAAUACCCUUUGAGUAAGCUCCGUCAGUGUCUCCAUGUCUCUGUUCUGCUAUAACAAAGGCUGUGGGCAACACUUUGACCCCAAUACCAAUCUCCCUGAUUCCUGUCACUAUCAUCCUGGGGUUCCAAUCUUUCAUGAUGCACUUAAGGGUUGGUCCUGCUGCCGAAAGCGAACUGUAGAUUUCUCUGAGUUCUUAAACAUUCAGGGCUGUGCUGUGGGACCACACUGUGCUGAGAAGCUUCCUGAGGUCCCUCCUCAGCCUGAGGCCCCUGCCACAAGCUCACUUCAGGAGCAAAAACCUCUGAAUACAAUUCCAAAGUCAGCAGAGACCUUGUUCCGAGAAAGGCCUAAGUCUGAGAUGCCUCCCAAACUGCUGCCACUUCUUAUAUCUCAAGCCCUGGGAGUGGCUUUGGAACAGAAGGAACUAGACCAGGAACCUGGAGCAGGACUUGACAGUAGUCGCAUCUGGACUGGUUCCAGCUGCCAGAACCCAGGAUGUGAUGCUGUUUACCAAGGUCCUGAGAGUGAUGCUACUCCAUGUACCUAUCACCCAGGGGCACCUCGGUUUCAUGAGGGGAUGAAGUCUUGGAGCUGCUGUGGUAUCCAGACUCUGGAUUUUGGUGCAUUCCUGGCACAGCCAGGAUGUAGAGUUGGUAGACAUGAUUGGGCAAAGCAGCUGCCAGCAUCUUGCCGCCAUGAUUGGCACCAGACAGAUUCCUUGGUAGUGCUGACGGUCUAUGGCCAGAUUCCACUUCCUGCAUUCAACUGGGUGAAGGCGAGUCAAACUGAGGUUUUUAAAGUGCUGGGAUUUAAGGCAUGCGCCACCACUGCCCAGCUGAGAUCUCCCCGUCUUAAUCUUCUGGGAUUCAUAGCCACUCUGCCUCAAGAUCUCCAUGCCAAGAUCCAGAUCAGAAACUUGUAUCUCCCAGCCUCCAGAUUGGGAUCACAGUUUUAGAUGCUCUUCCAAGUCAACAAAAUAUCGUUCUAAAAAAAUUUGUCCUGGUUAGUUCUAUGUCAUCUUGACACAAGCUAGAGUUAUCAGAGAAGAGGAAGCCUCAACUGAGAAAAUGCCUCCACAAGACCAAGCUAUAGGAGACAGUUUCACAGCAGACUCCCGGAUUCAGCUUCUUACAGUCAUCUGCCCCUUCUUCCUUGAUGGUCCCUGAGCAGCAGACUCAAGAGCUGUGAUACAGACAGACAUCUGCCCUCCCACCAUCAGUCCAUCUCUGUGCUGUUUCCAGUUGUGGUCUUCUGGGAUUUUCUUUGCUGUAAAGAGAGGGAGUCUUUAAUGAGAGAUGAGAGCUACACUUAACAAUGGGUAUCAGGAUGAGAUUUAGAAUGUAGUAAGGAAUUAUGCUGGCCUAGCAAAGUGGCAGUAGAAGCUCCUUUUCUAAGGCCCAUGACCUCACUGGCCCCAGAAACUUGGCUAGGUUUCGAGUUCCAGGCAAGAUUUUCUUCCUAUCAAAUGGGCUCUAAAUCCAAUUAGACAGCUGUAGGUUACCUCCAAUGUGUGAAUGCCACUUGCUGCACUUUUGUGUGCACCUUACCCUGCUGGUAAUUGUCAUGCAGGUAUUGUCUGCAGGUAUUACACCGGGGUAGGACUAUUUAAUUGCUUCCCUCCAUUGGCAGCUUGCAUAUUUUUCUGUCACCAUGGGAACUAGAGAGCAGGAAAGAGGCUUUCAGGUCAGAUCCAGCUCUAAUCAUCUGAAUCCUGUGUCUCAAGCACCUUCAGCAAUAGGGGCCACCCUCAACCUGAGAGGCCACCCAGGGCUACAUGGAUAGCCUAGUUUUGAGAGUCACCUGGACUGUUCUGACGAACCAUUCAAAGGAAGGUUUCUCAUUCCUGGUACUAGAGGUUUUAUUAUCUUUGUCAAGUAUAUAUCUACCAAAGGAUUGAUAUUAAGACUAUACAAGUAACUAAAAAAAAUCAAGAAAACAAAUGACUUAAUUAAAAAAAUGGGGUAGGGGGAGGCUGGAGAGAUGGUUCAGUGGUUAGUAGCAUUGGCUACUCUUCCAGAGAACCUGUAUUCAACUCCCAGUACCCACAUGACGGCUCACAACUGUGUGUAGCUCCAAUUCUAGUAUAUCUGGCACCUUCAUAGACGUAUAUGCUGAUA